rnacentral:rRNA from 1 species
AACACAUGCAAGUCGGAUGUGCCGCAAGGUGCAUGGCAGACGGGUGAGUAACGCGUGGGGAACCUACCUUCUUGUGGGGAAUAACGUUCCGAAAGGAGUGGUAAUACCGCAUGAGACCAUCGACUGGGAUGUUGGUGGUGAAAGCCGGGGAUCGAAAGACCUGGCGCAAGGAGAGGGUCCUGCGUCUGAUUAGCUAGUUGGUGGGGUAAUGGCCUACCAAGGCGACGAUCAGUAGCCGGCCUGAGAGGGUGAUCGGCCACACUGGAACUGAGACACGGUCCAGACUCCUACGGGAGGCAGCAGUGGGGAAUUUUGCGCAAUGGACGAAAGUCUGACGCAGCAACGCCGCGUGGGUGAUGAAGGUCUUCGGAUCGUAAAACCCUGUCGUCAGGGACGAAGGGUUGGGGCCUAAUACGCCUUGACCUUGACGGUACCUGGAGAGGAAGCCCCGGCUAACUCUGUGCCAGCAG